rnacentral:rRNA from 1 species
AUUGAACGCUGGCGGCAGGCCUCACACAUGCAAGUCGAACGAGUGGCGGACGGGUGAGUAAUGUCUGGGAAACUGACCGAUGGAGGGGGAUAACUACUGGAAAAGGUAGCUAAUACCGCAUACCAUCGGAUGUGCCCAGAUGGGAUGAGCUAGUCGCUGGGGUAAUGGCUCACCUAGGCGACGAUCCCUCACUGGUCUGAGAGGAUAAACGUCCAAACUGGAACGGAGACACGGUCCAGACUCCUACGGGAGGCAGCAGUGGGGAAUAUUGCACAAUGGGCGCAAGCCUGAUGCAGCCAUGCCGCGUGUAUGAAGAAGGCCUUCGGGUUGUAAAGUACUUUCAGCGAGGAGGCGUUACUCGCAGAAGAAGCACCGGCUAACUCCGUGCCAGCAGCCGCGGUAAUAC